rnacentral:rRNA from 1 species
UACGUAGGGUGCAAGCGUUGUCCGGAAUUAUUGGGCGUAAAGAGCUCGUAGGCGGUCUGUUGCGUCGGCUGUGAAAACCCGGGGCUCAACCCCGGGCCUGCAGCCGAUACGGGCAGACUAGAGUUCGGCAGGGGAGACUGGAAUUCCUGGUGUAGCGGUGAAAUGCGCAGAUAUCAGGAGGAACACCAAUGGCGAAGGCAGGUCUCUGGGCCACAACUGACGCUGAGGAGCGAAAGCGUGGGGAGCGAACAGG